UUAAGCGACUAAGCGUACACGGUGGAUGCCCUGGCAGUCAGAGGCGAUGAAGGACGUGCUAAUCUGCGAUAAGCGUCGGUAAGGUGAUAUGAACCGUUAUAACCGGCGAUUUCCGAAUGGGGAAACCCAGUGUGUUUCGACACACUAUCAUUAACUGAAUCCAUAGGUUAAUGAGGCGAACCGGGGGAACUGAAACAUCUAAGUACCCCGAGGAAAAGAAAUCAACCGAGAUUCCCCCAGUAGCGGCGAGCGAACGGGGAGCAGCCCAGAGCCUGAAUCAGUGUGUGUGUUAGUGGAAGCGUCUGGAAAGGCGCGCGAUACAGGGUGACAGCCCCGUACACAAAAAUGCACAUGCUGUGAGCUCGAUGAGUAGGGCGGGACACGUGGUAUCCUGUCUGAAUAUGGGGGGACCAUCCUCCAAGGCUAAAUACUCCUGACUGACCGAUAGUGAACCAGUACCGUGAGGGAAAGGCGAAAAGAACCCCGGCGAGGGGAGUGAAAAAGAACCUGAAACCGUGUACGUACAAGCAGUGGGAGCACGCUUAGGCGUGUGACUGCGUACCUUUUGUAUAAUGGGUCAGCGACUUAUAUUCUGUAGCAAGGUUAACCGAAUAGGGGAGCCGAAGGGAAACCGAGUCUUAACUGGGCGUUAAGUUGCAGGGUAUAGACCCGAAACCCGGUGAUCUAGCCAUGGGCAGGUUGAAGGUUGGGUAACACUAACUGGAGGACCGAACCGACUAAUGUUGAAAAAUUAGCGGAUGACUUGUGGCUGGGGGUGAAAGGCCAAUCAAACCGGGAGAUAGCUGGUUCUCCCCGAAAGCUAUUUAGGUAGCGCCUCGUGAAUUCAUCUCCGGGGGUAGAGCACUGUUUCGGCAAGGGGGUCAUCCCGACUUACCAACCCGAUGCAAACUGCGAAUACCGGAGAAUGUUAUCACGGGAGACACACGGCGGGUGCUAACGUCCGUCGUGAAGAGGGAAACAACCCAGACCGCCAGCUAAGGUCCCAAAGUCAUGGUUAAGUGGGAAACGAUGUGGGAAGGCCCAGACAGCCAGGAUGUUGGCUUAGAAGCAGCCAUCAUUUAAAGAAAGCGUAAUAGCUCACUGGUCGAGUCGGCCUGCGCGGAAGAUGUAACGGGGCUAAACCAUGCACCGAAGCUGCGGCAGCGACACUAUGUGUUGUUGGGUAGGGGAGCGUUCUGUAAGCCUGUGAAGGUGUGCUGUGAGGCAUGCUGGAGGUAUCAGAAGUGCGAAUGCUGACAUAAGUAACGAUAAAGCGGGUGAAAAGCCCGCUCGCCGGAAGACCAAGGGUUCCUGUCCAACGUUAAUCGGGGCAGGGUGAGUCGACCCCUAAGGCGAGGCCGAAAGGCGUAGUCGAUGGGAAACAGGUUAAUAUUCCUGUACUUGGUGUUACUGCGAAGGGGGGACGGAGAAGGCUAUGUUGGCCGGGCGACGGUUGUCCCGGUUUAAGCGUGUAGGCUGGUUUUCCAGGCAAAUCCGGAAAAUCAAGGCUGAGGCGUGAUGACGAGGCACUACGGUGCUGAAGCAACAAAUGCCCUGCUUCCAGGAAAAGCCUCUAAGCAUCAGGUAACAUCAAAUCGUACCCCAAACCGACACAGGUGGUCAGGUAGAGAAUACCAAGGCGCUUGAGAGAACUCGGGUGAAGGAACUAGGCAAAAUGGUGCCGUAACUUCGGGAGAAGGCACGCUGAUAUGUAGGUGAAGUCCCUCGCGGAUGGAGCUGAAAUCAGUCGAAGAUACCAGCUGGCUGCAACUGUUUAUUAAAAACACAGCACUGUGCAAACACGAAAGUGGACGUAUACGGUGUGACGCCUGCCCGGUGCCGGAAGGUUAAUUGAUGGGGUCAGCGCAAGCGAAGCUCUUGAUCGAAGCCCCGGUAAACGGCGGCCGUAACUAUAACGGUCCUAAGGUAGCGAAAUUCCUUGUCGGGU
rnacentral:rRNA from 1 species